rnacentral:rRNA from 1 species
UACAGAGGUCCCGAGCGUUGUUCGGAUUCAUUGGGCGUAAAGGGUGCGUAGGCGGCAGGAUAAGUCGGAUGUGAAAUCCCGGGGCUCAACCUCGGAACUGCAUUCGAUACUGUUCUGCUCGAGUACUGGAGAGGAGACUGGAAUUCACGGUGUAGCAGUGAAAUGCGUAGAUAUCGUGAGGAAGGCCAGUGGCGAAGGCGAGUCUCUGGACAGUUACUGACGCUGAGGCACGAAGGCCAGGGGAGCAAACGGG